rnacentral:rRNA from 1 species
UAGAGUUUGAUCAUGGCUCAGAUUGAACGCUGGCGGCAGGCCUAACACAUGCAAGUCGAGCGGUAACAGGAAUUAGCUUGCUAAUUCGCUGACGAGCGGCGGACGGGUGAGUAAUGCCUGGGAAUAUGCCUUAGUGUGGGGGAUAACUAUUGGAAACGAUAGCUAAUACCGCAUAAUGUCUUCGGACCAAAGAGGGGGACCUUCGGGCCUCUCGCGCUAAGAUUAGCCCAGGUGAGAUUAGCUUGUUGGUGAGGUAAGAGCUCACCAAGGCGACGAUCUCUAGCUGGUCUGAGAGGAUGAUCAGCCACACUGGAACUGAGACACGGUCCAGACUCCUACGGGAGGCAGCAGUGGGGAAUAUUGCACAAUGGGCGCAAGCCUGAUGCAGCCAUGCCGCGUGUAUGAAGAAGGCCUUCGGGUUGUAAAGUACUUUCAGUGGGGAGGAAGGUGUUGUCGUUAAUAGCGGCAGCAUUUGACGUUACCCACAGAAGAAGCACCGGCUAACUCCGUGCCAGCAGCCGCGGUAAUACGGAGGGUGCGAGCGUUAAUCGGAAUUACUGGGCGUAAAGCGCAUGCAGGUGGUUCAUUAAGUCAGAUGUGAAAGCCCGGGGCUCAACCUCGGAACCGCAUUUGAAACUGGUGAACUAGAGUGCUGUAGAGGGGGGUAGAAUUUCA